rnacentral:rRNA from 1 species
UACGUAGGCAGCGAGCGUUGUUCGGAGUUACUGGGCGUAAAGGGUGUGUAGGCGGUUCUUUAAGUUUGGUGUGAAAUCUCCCGGCUCAACCGGGAGGGUGCGCCGAAUACUGAGGGACUAGAGUGCGGGAGAGGAAAGUGGAAUUCCCGGUGUAGCGGUGAAAUGCGUAGAGAUCGGGAGGAACACCGGCGGCGAAGGCGGCAUCCUGGCCCUGUCCUGACGCUCAUGCACGAAAGCGUGGGGAGCAAACAGG